AAAGAUGUUUCCUUUUGGCUAAGAUCAAAGUGUAGUAUCUGUUCUUAUCAGCUUAAUAUCUGAUACGUCCUGCAUCGCAGGACCAGAAUAUUAAACUCAUUUUUGGCUCAUGACGGAGUGCUAGGGGCUUGCUCCACCUCUCUCAUCUUCUUCUCUACUUUUUAUUAAAACAGCCAGAAUUAUU